GACGAACGCUGGCGGCGUGCUUAACACAUGCAAGUCGAACGGAAAGGCCCUGCUUUUGUGGGGUGCUCGAGUGGCGAACGGGUGAGUAACACGUGAGUAACCUGCCCUUGACUUUGGGAUAACUUCAGGAAACUGGGGCUAAUACCGGAUAGGAGCUCCUGCUGCAUGGUGGGGGUUGGAAAGUUUCGGCGGUUGGGGAUGGACUCGCGGCUUAUCAGCUUGUUGGUGGGGUAGUGGCUUACCAAGGCUUUGACGGGUAGCCGGCCUGAGAGGGUGACCGGCCACAUUGGGACUGAGAUACGGCCCAGACUCCUACGGGAGGCAGCAGUGGGGAAUAUUGCACAAUGGGCGGAAGCCUGAUGCAGCAACGCCGCGUGCGGGAUGACGGCCUUCGGGUUGUAAACCGCUUUCGCCUGUGACGAAGCGUGAGUGACGGUAAUGGGUAAAGAAGCACCGGCUAACUACGUGCCAGCAGCCGCGGUGAUACGUAGGGUGCGAGCGUUGUCCGGAUUUAUUGGGCGUAAAGGGCUCGUAGGUGGUUGAUCGCGUCGGAAGUGUAAUCUUGGGGCUUAACCCUGAGCGUGCUUUCGAUACGGGUUGACUUGAGGAAGGUAGGGGAGAAUGGAAUUCCUGGUGGAGCGGUGGAAUGCGCAGAUAUCAGGAGGAACACCAGUGGCGAAGGCGGUUCUCUGGGCCUUUCCUGACGCUGAGGAGUGAAAGCGUGGGGAGCGAACAGGCUUAGAUACCCUGGUAGUCCACGCUGUAAACGGUGGGUACUAGGUGUGGGGUCCAUUCCACGGGUUCCGUGCCGUAGCUAACGCUUUAAGUACCCCGCCUGGGGAGUACGGCCGCAAGGCUAAAACUCAAAGGAAUUGACGGGGCCCCGCACAAGCGGCGGAGCAUGCGGAUUAAUUCGAUGCAACGCGUAGAACCUUACCUGGGUUUGACAUGGAUCGGGAGUGCUCAGAGAUGGGUGUGCCUCUUUUGGGGUCGGUUCACAGGUGGUGCAUGGCUGUCGUCAGCUCGUGUCGUGAGAUGUUGGGUUAAGUCCCGCAACGAGCGCAACCCUUGUUCACUGUUGCCAGCACGUUAUGGUGGGGACUCAGUGGAGACCGCCGGGGUCAACUCGGAGGAAGGUGGGGAUGACGUCAAGUCAUCAUGCCCCUUAUGUCCAGGGCUUCACGCAUGCUACAAUGGCUGGUACAGAGAGUGGCGAGCCUGUGAGGGUGAGCGAAUCUCGGAAAGCCGGUCUCAGUUCGGAUUGGGGUCUGCAACUCGACCUCAUGAAGUCGGAGUCGCUAGUAAUCGCAGAUCAGCAACGCUGCGGUGAAUAAGUUCCCGGGGCU
rnacentral:rRNA from 1 species